rfam:Solanum tuberosum cultivar DM 1-3 516 R44 scf00172_11, whole genome shotgun sequence.
AUAAACAAUGAUGAGUAAUAUUUUACAGUUACAGACCUGUAAUGAUAUGCGAAAAUGAUCGCAACAAAUUGAACAUCUAAGGGACUGAGUUUGU